rnacentral:rRNA from 1 species
UACGGGGGGUGCGAGCGUUGUCCGGAAUCACUGGGCGUAAAGGGCGCGUAGGUGGUCUGAUAAGGGUGUGGUGAAAGCCCGGGGCUCAACCCCGGGUCGGCCGUGCCGACUGUUAGUCUAGAGUGCUGUAGGGGCAGGCGGAAUUCCGGGUGUAGCGGUGGAAUGCGUAGAGAUCCGGAGGAAGACCGGUGGCGAAGGCGGCCUGCUGGGCAGUUACUGACACUGAGGCGCGACAGCGUGGGGAGCAAACAGG